GAUGAACGCUAGCGGCAGGCCUAACACAUGCAAGUCGAGGGAGGAGCCUUCGGGCUUCGACCGGCGUACGGGUGCGUAACGCGUAUACAAUCUGCCUUUCACAUAGGGAUAGCCCGAAGAAAUUUGGAUUAAUACCUAAUGGUAUAUAGAUGUGGCAUCACCUUUAUAUUAAAGCUGAGGCGGUGAAAGAUGAGUAUGCGUUCUAUUAGCUAGUUGGAGAGGUAACGGCUCCCCAAGGCGACGAUAGAUAGGGGUUCUGAGAGGGAUAUCCCCCACACUGGUACUGAGAUACGGACCAGACUCCUACGGGAGGCAGCAGUGAGGAAUAGUGAACAAUGGUAGGAAGACUGAUCCAGCCAUGCCGCGUGCAGGAAGACGGCCUUAUGGGUUGUAAACUGCUUUUGCAGGGGAAGAAUAAGGACUACGCGUAGUUUGAUGACGGUACUCUGCGAAUAAGCAUCGGCUAACUCCGUG
rnacentral:rRNA from 1 species